GGACUACCGGGGUUUCUAAUCCUGUUUGAUCCCCUUGCUCUCGCGCCUCAGCGUCAGGUAAAAGCUAGAAAACCGCUUUCGCCACCGGUGUUCCUCCACAUAUCUACGCAUUUCACCGCUACAUGUGGAAUUCCAUUUUCUCCGCCAUCCCUCAAGAUUCACAGUUUCAAAUGCAGCUCCGAAAUUGAGUUUCGGAAUUUCACAUCUGACUUACGAAUCCGCCUACGCGCCCUUUACGCCCAAUAAAUCCGAUUAAUGCUUGCACCCUCCGUAUUACCGCGGCUGCUGGCAC
rnacentral:rRNA from 1 species